CCUACGGGAGGCAGCAGUGGGGAAUAUUGCGCAAUGGGCGAAAGCCUGACGCAGCGACGCCGCGUGAGGGAUGAAGGUCUUCGGAUCGUAAACCUCUGUCAGCAGGGAAGAACGGUCACUGUGCUAAUCAGCAGUGAAUUGACGGUACCUGCAAAGGAAGCACCGGCUAACUCCGUGCCAGCAGCCGCGGUAAUACGGAGGGUGCGAGCGUUAAUCGGAAUUACUGGGCGUAAAGCGCUCGUAGGCGGUAUGUCAAGUCAAGGGUGAAAUCCCCGCGCUCAACGUGGGAACUGCCUUUGAAACUGGCAGACUGGAGUGUGUGAGAGGUAAGUGGAAUUCCAGGUGUAGGAGUGAAAUCCGUAGAUAUCUGGAGGAACAUCAGUGGCGAAGGCGACUAUCUGGCACAUAACUGACGCUGAGGAGCGAAAGCGUGGGUAGCGAACAGGAUUAGAUACCCUAGUAGUC
rnacentral:rRNA from 1 species